rnacentral:lncRNA from 1 species
AAAAAUUUCAUGAGAAAGCGCAGGUGGGAUUUUUAAAAUUUUCAUAUAUGUUCUAAAAGAAAUGCACUACGAAAUAAUUGUGGUCUCGGACCAUGUAAUUCAGCAAUUGUACUUUAAACAAAGCAUUUAAGUUUAUAUGAUGUAUUAAUGAUUUUCAAAUAUAUACAAUUUGUAAAGAUACAUUUAUACAUUCUAUUAUAUCAUGUAUAUAGUGGAAAUGUUUACAAGAGUAUUUGAUUGUUAAGUUGAACGGCAUAAUUUUAUGCACAUGCAUAUAUAUAUAUAUAUAAGUGUAUGUUUACAUGUUUGUCAUGUUUAUAGUAAAGUUUUGUUAAGAUUAUUUAUUAUUACAUGUACAUGUAAAGAUUAUGUUGAUAAAAUUUGAAAAGUUUAUAAAAAU